rnacentral:rRNA from 1 species
AUGAACGCUGGCGGCGUGCCUAAUACAUGCAAGUCGAGCGAACAGAUGAGGAGCUUGCUCCUCUGACGUUAGCGGCGGACGGGUGAGUAACACGUGGAUAACCUACCUAUAAGACUGGGAUAACUUCGGGAAACCGGAGCUAAUACCGGAUAAUAUAUUGAACCGCAUGGUUCAAUAGUGAAAGACGGUUUUGCUGUCACUUAUAGAUGGAUCCGCGCCGCAUUAGCUAGUUGGUAAGGUAACGGCUUACCAAGGCAACGAUGCGUAGCCGACCUGAGAGGGUGAUCGGCCACACUGGAACUGAGACACGGUCCAGACUCCUACGGGAGGCAGCAGUAGGGAAUCUUCCGCAAUGGGCGAAAGCCUGACGGAGCAACGCCGCGUGAGUGAUGAAGGUCUUCGGAUCGUAAAACUCUGUUAUUAGGGAAGAACAAAUGUGUAAGUAACUAUGCACGUCUUGACGGUACCUAAUCAGAAAGCCACGACUAACUACGUG